GAUGAAUUAUGUUUGGAUAGGCUCAAAUUAAUCAAUAUGAGUAUACUCCCUGUGGACUCAGGAGCAGCCCAUGUUGCAUUUCAAAGCAAUGAAAUAUGUAUUUCCUCUAAUGGGAUACUGACAAAUGUUUUUAAAACUCUUAGAGUGUUUCUCAUGUGCAGCCAUCUUUUGUGGUGACAUGGAGCACCUGUGCAGACCCUCAGUAGAAUCUGCACCUGGGCCCCAGGCGCGCCAGGAUGGGGCUCAGGGGUUGGUGGGUCCGGCGGCUGUAAAGGAACAGGGUGGAGGUCCCAGGUUGAAAAAUUGUAAAAUUAUAAUUUUACAGCUUAUAUAAUUUAACUACUUCAGUCAUCAUGUCUUUUUCUUUUUACAAAGUCAAUUUUCCUACAUAACUCCAAAUUUUUUUCACACCAUCUAAGUAAUAUUUUAAUAUUUUCCAUAUCCAAUCCGUAUUCAAAUUUCCCCAAUUACCUCCAAAUGACUUAUGAAAAAAAAUGCUAUUUUAAUCGGGAGCCAAUAGCGGAUUACCCUUUGCAUUUGACAGCAGAGUUCAGGCUUAACCCUUAACCUCUUCAGGCUCGGAGGACCCUGGGCAGGAGAGAUUUAAGAACACCGUCCUCCCGCUUUCGCGAAAGGCCAAGAGUGACUUGAAAUGUAGACGCGGAGGCCUAUGGGAAAUGUAGUUUUAAAUAGGUGAGGUUCACCGCCUGGACUCUGGGAAGGGGACGCCACGCUCCUUCUGCGCAUGUGCAGCCGUAGCCUCCUCGUUCGUCUUCUCAGGACUCCAGAGAACCGUUGGGGAACUUUGGGGUGUGCUCGGAAAAUGCAGGAGCUUCAGAGCAGAGACAAGAGCCCAGAAAGGAGCAGAUGCUAGAUUUGCAAGAUCAGAAGCAGGUCUUGAUCCUCCUGCCCAGAAUGAACCAGACUUGAUGAUGAUGCCACCUUCAGGAGCCACCACACUGUGUGACAGUGGGGCAUUUGGGCCGUCCCUGGGAAGUACAGAUGCGCUGCUGUCACACAUGUCCACCACCACAUGUGACAUUAGUGACGUUAUCCUGAUGUCACAGGAUCCAAGAAUGAUGAUCUGUGAAGAGUUUUCCGAGGUCACCUACUUCUAACUCUUUUGAAAGAUUUAAAGACAUUGGGCCUGAAAAUUUCAGUGACUUGUCCAGGGAAACGCAGUUUGUGACAGUUCACUCUCUCACAGCUGAACCACAGUCCUCUGUACUCGCCCAGGAGCCACAGAAGUGAACAUCCCUCAGAUUCCACCUGCCACCACUGGAGGAGGUUCAGGAGCUGUGUAUUCUGAGCCUGCUGUGAUCCCUGGUGUCUGUGCUUGUCCUUUGGAAUCUAUGCUGAGAGGACCCAUCUGCGAUUGCCUGCUUGUAGCUGCUGCUUUGCUAAUGGAGGAGAGUCUAAGGGAAGAGCUCACUCCGCCGUGAUGCUGAUGUCAUGCCUGGUCAUUCUAUUUUUAAGUUUUUGAGGAAUCUCUGUACUGUUUUCCACAGUGGCUGCACCAAUUUACAUUCCCACCAGCAGUGUAUGAGGGCUCCCUUUUCUCCACAUCCUCUCCAACACUUCUGUUUUCUUUGUAAAGAUUGGCACCUGAGCUAACAUCUGUUGUCUAUCUUUUUUUCCUUCUUGUUCUCCCAAAACCCUCCCA
ensembl:lncRNA